rnacentral:rRNA from 1 species
AUUGAACGCUGGCGGCAGGCCUAACACAUGCAAGUCGAACGAGUGGCGGACGGGUGAGCAAUGACUGGGAAACUGCCUGAUGGAGGGGGAUAACUACUGGAAACGGUAGCUAAUACCGCAUACCAUCGGAUGUGCCCAGAUGGGAUUAGCGAGUAGGUGGGGUAACGGCUCACCUAGGCGACGCUCCCUAGCUGGUCGGAGAGGAUGACCAGCCACAAUGGAACUGAGACACGGGCCAGACUCCUACGGGAGGCAGCAGUGGGGAAUAUUACACAAUGGGCGGAAGCCUGAAGCAGCCAUGCCGCGUGUAUGAAGAAGGCCGUCGGGUUGUAAAGUACUUUCAGCGGUGAGGCGUUACCUGCAGAAGAAGCACCGGCUAACUCCGUGGCAGCAGCCGCGGUAAUAC